AUAUCUCUCUGUACGGGAAGGAUGAGAAGCUUCGACCAAGGUUCGAUUCGAGCGCAGCGAGAAAGCGUUGCCGCAGGCAACGACCCGAA
rnacentral:sRNA from 2 species